rnacentral:rRNA from 1 species
CCUACGGGAGGCAGCAGUGAGGAAUAUUGGUCAAUGGCCGGGAGGCUGAACCAGCCAAGUCGCGUGAGGGAAGACGGCCCUACGGGUUGUAAACCUCUUUUGUCAGGGAGCAAGGUGCAGGUCGGGACCUGCUGUGAGAGUACCUGAAGAAAAAGCAUCGGCUAACUCCGUGCCAGCAGCCGCGGUAAUACGGAGGAUGCGAGCGUUAUCCGGAUUUAUUGGGUUUAAAGGGUGCGCAGGCGGAGGCACAAGUCAGCGGUAAAAUCGCGGGGCUCAACCCCGCUCCGCCGUUGAAACUGUGUGCCUUGAGUGCGCGAAGGGUAGGCGGAAUGCGUGGUGUAGCGGUGAAAUGCAUAGAUAUCACGCAGAACGCCGAUCGCGAAGGCAGCCUACCGGCGCGCAACUGACGCUCAUGCACGAAAGCGUGGGUAUCGAACAGGAGUAGAUACCCCAGUAGUC